UACAGAGGUCUCAAGCGUUGUUCGGAUUCAUUGGGCGUAAAGGGUGCGUAGGUGGCGCGGUAAGUCGGGUGUGAAAUCUCGGAGCUUAACUCCGAAAUUGCAUUCGAUACUGCCGUGCUCGAGGACUGGAGAGGAGACUGGAAUUCAUGGUGUAGCAGUGAAAUGCGUAGAGAUCAUGAGGAAGACCAGUGGCGAAGGCGAAUCUCUGGACAGUUACUGACACUGAGGCACGAAGGCCAGGGGAGCAAACGGG
rnacentral:rRNA from 1 species